GACGAACGCUGGCGGCGUGCUUAACACAUGCAAGUCGAGCGGUAAGGCCCUUUCGGGGGUACGACGAGCGGCGAACGGGUGAGUAACACGUGGGUGACCUGCCCUCAGCUCUGGGAUAAGCCUGGGAAACCGGGUCUAAUACCGGAUAUGACUCCAUGACGCAUGUUGUGGGGUGGAAAGCCUUGUGCGGCUGAGGAUGGGCCCGCGGCCUAUCAGCUUGUUGGUGGGGUGAUGGCCUACCAAGGCGACGACGGGUAGCCGGCCUGAGAGGGCGACCGGCCACACUGGGACUGAGACACGGCCCAGACUCCUACGGGAGGCAGCAGUGGGGAAUCUUGCGCAAUGGGCGAAAGCCUGACGCAGCGACGCCGCGUGGGGAGUGAAGGUCUUC
rnacentral:rRNA from 1 species